rnacentral:rRNA from 1 species
AGAGUUUGAUCAUGGCUCAGAUUGAACGCUGGCGGCAGGCCUAACACAUGCAAGUCGAGCGGAAACGAGUUAUCUGAACCUUCGGGGAACGAUAACGGCGUCGAGCGGCGGACGGGUGAGUAAUGCCUAGGAAAUUGCCCUGAUGUGGGGGAUAACCAUUGGAAACGAUGGCUAAUACCGCAUGAUGCCUACGGGCCAAAGAGGGGGACCUUCGGGCCUCUCGCGUCAGGAUAUGCCUAGGUGGGAUUAGCUAGUUGGUGAGGUAAGGGCUCACCAAGGCGACGAUCCCUAGCUGGUCUGAGAGGAUGAUCAGCCACACUGGAACUGAGACACGGUCCAGACUCCUACGGGAGGCAGCAGUGGGGAAUAUUGCACAAUGGGCGCAAGCCUGAUGCAGCCAUGCCGCGUGUAUGAAGAAGGCCUUCGGGUUGUAAAGUACUUUCAGUCGUGAGGAAGGUUCAUGCGUUAAUAGCGUAUGGAUUUGACGUUAGCGACAGAAGAAGCACCGGCUAACUCCGUGCCAGCAGCCGCGGUAAUACGGAGGGUGCGAGCGUUAAUCGGAAUUACUGGGCGUAAAGCGCAUGCAGGUGGUUUGUUAAGUCAGAUGUGAAAGCCCGGGGCUCAACCCCGGAAUAGCAUUUGAAACUGGCAGACUAGAGUACUGUAGAGGGGGGUAGAAUUUCAGGUGUAGCGGUGAAAUGCGUAGAGAUCUGAAGGAAUACCGGUGGCGAAGGCGGCCCCCUGGACAGAUACUGACACUCAGAUGCGAAAGCGUGGG